rnacentral:rRNA from 1 species
AAUGAACGCUGGCGGCAGGCCUAACACAUGCAAGUCGAACGGAUCCUUCGGGAUUAGUGGCGGACGGGUGAGUAACGCGUGGGAACAUACCCUUUGGUACGGAAUAGCCUCGGGAAACUGGGAGUAAUACCGUAUGUGCUCUUCGGAGGAAAGAUUUAUCGCCAAAGGAUUGGCCCGCGUUGGAUUAGGUAGUUGGUGGGGUAAUGGCCUACCAAGCCGACGAUCCAUAGCUGGUUUGAGAGGAUGAUCAGCCACACUGGGACUGAGACACGGCCCAGACUCCUACGGGAGGCAGCAGUGGGAAUCUUAGACAAUGGGGAAACCUGAUCUAGCCAUGCCGCGUGAUCGAUGAAGGCCUUAGGGUGUAAAGAUCUUUCAGUGGGAAGAUAAUGACGGUACCCACAGAAGAAGCCCCGGCUAACUCCGUGCCAGCAGCCGCGGUAAU